rnacentral:rRNA from 1 species
CCUACGGGUGGCAGCAGUGGGGAAUAUUGGGCAAUGGAGGAAACGCUGACCCAGCAAUGCCGCGUGAAUGAAGAAGGUCUUCGGAUUGUAAAGUUCUUUAGUCAGGGAAGAAGUCAAUGACGGUACCUGAAGAAUAAGCUACGGCUAACUACGGGCCAGCAGCCGCGGGAAUACGUAGGGAGCAAGCGUUGUUCGGAAUGACUGGGCGUAAAGGGUGCGUAGGCGGUUGUACAAGUUAGAAGUGAAAUACCCAGGGCUUAACUCGGGUGCUGCUUCUAAAACUGUAUGACUUGAGUGCAGUAGAGGUUAGUGGAAUGCCUGGUGUAGCGGUGGAAUGCGUAGAUAUUAGGAGGAACACCAGAGGCGAAGGCGGCUAACUGGACUGCAACUGACGCUGAGGCACGAAAGUGUGGGGAGCAAACAGGAUUAGAUACCCUGGUAGUC